CGGGUGAGUAACACGUGGAUAACCUACCUAUAAGACUGGGAUAACUUCGGGAAACCGGAGCUAAUACCGGAUAAUAUAUUGAACCGCAUGGCUCAAUAGUGAAAGACGGUUUUGCUGUCACUUAUAGAUGGAUCCGCGCCUCAUUAGCUAGUUGGUAAGGUAACGGCUUACCAAGGCAACGAUGCGUAGCCGACCUGAGAGGGUGAUCGGCCACACUGGAACUGAGACACGGUCCAGACUCCUACGGGAGGCAGCAGCG
rnacentral:rRNA from 1 species